rnacentral:rRNA from 1 species
AGGAUUCCCUUAGUAACGGCGAGUGAAGUGGGAAGAGCUCAAAUUUAAAAUCUGCAAGGUUUUACCUCCGAGUUGUAGUUUGAAGAAGUGUUUUCUGCGGCAGCAUUGGUCUAAAUCCUUUGGAACAGGGUAUCAUAGAGGGUGAGAAUCCCGUCUUUGGUCAAGCGUCGUUGCUCUGCGAUACACUUUUUAAGAGUCGGGUUGUUUGGGAUUGCAGCCCAAAAUUGGUGGUAAAUUUCAUCUAAGGCUAAAUAUUGGCAAGAGACCGAUAGCGAACAAGUACCGUGAGGGAAAGAUGAAAAGAACUUUGAAAAGAGAGUUAAAUAGUACGUGAAAUUGUUAAAAGGGAAACGCUUGAAGUCAGUGUAGCUGGCUGGAAAUCAGCUCGGGAGUUGAGAGUAUGUUAUGUACCUUGAGUUUUUGGGGGUGAAUUGGGUGCACUUUUCAGCUAGCAGGUCAACAUCAAUUUCGCUUGGAGGAUAAAAGCAUGAGGAAGGUAGGGGAAGUGUUAUAGACUCGUGCCGAUACACUGAGUGAGAUUGAGGAACGCAGUAUGUGCUUUUGGGCGAAGAUCUUGGUGUCUAGUUGGGUAGCGGGGAAAGACAGCUUGCUGACUUUUCUCGUAUUGCCUGGCUAAGCGCUAGGUAUUCUUUAUCAUACUAAGGAUGUUGACGAAAUGGUUUUAAACGACCCGUCUUGAAACACGGACCAAGGAGUCUAACAAAUAUGCGAGUAUUUGGGUGGCAAACCCAUAUGCGUAAUGAAAGUGAAUGUAGGUGGGACUUGGCACCAUCGACCGAUCUGGAUUUUAUAUGAUAGAUUUGAGUAAGAGCAUAUCUGUUGGGACCCGAAAGAUGGUGAACUAUGCCUGAAUAGGGUGAAGCCAGAGGAAACUCUGGUGGAGGCUCGUAGCGAUUCUGACGUGCAAAUCGAUCGUCAAAUUUGGGUAUAGGGGCGAAAGACUAAUUU